GCAUACAUAGCUCAGUCGAUAAAGCAUGAGACUCUUAAUCUUAGGGUCAUGAGUUUGAACCCCACGUUGGACA